rnacentral:ncRNA from 1 species
GGGCCGGGCCGUUACCGGCGCUGAGGUGGAGCACCACCGGGGAGCGGCCUCUCGGAAGUCGAUGCCGUGCGCCUGGGCGAAGCAG